GGUGAGGUGGCUGAGCCUGGUCUAAGGCGCCGCACUUGAAAUGCGGUAUACCUGCAAGGGUAUCGUGAGUUCGAAUCUCACCCUCACCG
rnacentral:tRNA from 1 species